GUUUUCUGUUUUGUGUAUUGCACCUUGCAGAACUGUUCGGUUGUUGUUUUUCUCUCCAAGUAUUCAUAUUUAUUAAAAGGUAUUAUGAAUACUUACCACGCUGCACCUUGGUCUUCUCCUUCUCAGGACAACAGCCGUUACAGGUGCCAUCCCGGGCUUCAUGCUGGGUGUGUUCCAGAUCCCUCUAAAUGAUUGUGAGGAGCUCUACAGGAGCUGGGUUCUGACGCCUUCAAGAAGAACGUCAUCGUUGGCACCAUCAAGAUGGGCUGGAGCCAUUUCUUCUGCGACUCGCAGACCUUGGAGCAAAUCCUCAAAGAAAAUGGGCUCUGAUCUGAUGGUGGAAACAUCAAGAAACCCCAAAUGCCCAAAGUUAAGCUUUGUCACAUGGCAUGACUCAUUACACUGUCUGGAGUGUGGUGCUGAUGAUCUCACACACACACACACACACCCACACACACACACACACACACACACCCUCUCAUGGAUGGCAAGGUGGACAAUGAGGAAGGAAGGCCCUCACAAUUUCUUAAAGGUCCUAGUAGUCAUUUUUAUUUCAAUAUCAAAUCAUUUCUCGGUAACAAUUGAGUACCUUACUGUGAUUGUUUUCAAUUAUGGUCAAAAAUAAACAAAAAUAGAUUUUUAGCAAAGGGCAAUUUCUCAAGCAAGAUUUUUGCUAGGACUGCCUGGGAGUGGUCUGAGUAGAGAGGGGAAAACUGAAAAUGUGCUUUUAUUGGCAGAGAGAUUUGGAACUCCCUUUCUUAGUGUUUUUACACGUAGUCCCUUUCAGCCAAAUGUUUGUGAACUCAGUGCAGUUUGCAGAAUUUGUUUGUGCAGUGUGAACACUCCAAAGGGACUCAAACCCCUCAAAAGAGCCCCGAAACUAACUGAACUUAGAGCCAUCUCGAGAGGGGGUCUGAGUUUGGUUUUGGUUCGAGAGGGGGUCUGAGUUUGGUUCGAGAGGGGGUUUGGUUUUGGUUCGAGAGGGGGUCUGAGUUUGGUUUUGGCUCGAGAGGGGGUCUGAGUUUGGUUCG